rnacentral:rRNA from 1 species
UACAGAGGGCUCAAGCGUUGUUCGGAUUCAUUGGGCGUAAAGGGCGCGUAGGCGGCGGGGUAAGUCGGGUGUGAAAUCUCAGAGCUCAACUCUGAAACUGCACUCGAUACUGCUCUGCUUGAGGACUGGAGAGGAGACUGGAAUUCACGGUGUAGCAGUGAAAUGCGUAGAUAUCGUGAGGAACACCAGUGGCGAAGGCGGAGACCUGGGCCAAUACUGACGCUGAGGUGCGAAAGCGUGGGGAGCAAACAGG